UAAACUUCCCUCUCAGGACUGUUUUUUCUAUGUCCCAUAGGUUUUGGAUUGUGUAUCUAUAUUGUCAUUUGUCUCUAAGUUUUUCUGAUUUCCUCUUUGUUUUCUUAAUUGGUCCAUUGGUUGUUUAGUGGCAAAUCAUUUAGUUUUCACAAGUUUGUGUUUUUUUGCCAUUUUUUUUUCCUUGCAGUUGAUUUCCAAUCUCAUAAUGUUGUGUCUGGGAAAGAAACUUGUUAUGAUUUCAUUUUGCUUAAAUUUACUGAGGCUUGAUUUGUGGUCCAAGGUCUGAUCUAUCCUGGAGAAUGACCCAUGUGCACUUGAGAAUGUAUAUUCUGCUGCUUUCAGAUGGAAUGUUCUAUAGAUAUCAGUUAAAUCCAUCUAGUCUAAUGUGUCAUGUAUGGCUUGUGUUUCUUAUUAAUUUUCUGUCUGGAUGAUCUGUCCAUUGAUGAAAGUGUGGUGUUAAAAUUUCCCACUAUUAUUGUGUUGCUGUUGAUUUCUCCUUAUAUGUCUGUUAGCAUUUGCUUUAUAUAUUGAGGUGCUCCCAUGUUGGUUGCAUAUAUACUUAUAGUUGCUAUAUCUUCUUGGUCGUUAUGUAGUACCCUUCUUGUCUCUCAUAACUGUCUUUGUCUUAAAGUCUAUUUUGUCUGAUAUGAGCAUUGCCACUCCAUCUUUCUUUGGAUUUAUAUGUACAUGGAAUAUCUUUUUCUGUGUCCUCACUUUUUGUAUGUGUCCCUAGGUCUGAAGUGAGUCUCUUGUAGACAACGUGUAUAUGGGUCUUAUUUUUGUAUCCAUUCAGUUUGUAUCAUUUAUCUGAAAUAUUUAAUCCAUAUACAUUUAACGUAAUUAUCAGUAUGUAUGUUCUUAUUGCCAUUUUGUUAAUUGUUUUGGAUUUGUUUUUGUUGGUCAUUUUCCUUCCCUUCCUAUUUUGUUCUCUUCCUUUGUUAUUUGAUGACUGUCAUGACUGUCUUCAGUGUUGUGUUUGGAUUCCUGUAUCUUUUUUGUGUGUGUAUAUCUAUUGUAGUUUUUUGUUUCGCAGUUACUAUGAGUUUUUGAUACACACACACACACACUCAAGACUGUUUUGAGUUACUGGUUUAUUAAUUUCAAAUGGCUGUACUCUCCUCAUUAUUGCUUAUUUGAUAUCAUAUUUGUGCGUGCAUGAUUUCUUACCCUAUUUCUUACCCUGUUUGACUUUAGCAGUGAGCUUUGCCAUUCAAAAUUUUCUUGUAUCUCAUUGUGGUCUUUUCUUUUUCACUUAAAUAAGUUUCUUUAGCAUUUGUUGUGGAGCUGGUUUACUGGUGCCAAAUUCUUUUAGCUUUUGCUUAUCUGUAAAGAUUUUGACUUCUCUGUCAAAUCUAUAUGAAAAUUUGGCCCUUUUCUACUAUAUCAUGUUUUCUAAUCUGUCUCUAGUGCUAUCCCUCAGCAAAUAAUUGGAUAAUAAGUAUUUGCUUCCUAUAUCUAUGAGGGUUUUUGAUUUUUUAAUUGUAACUUCUAUUAGUAAGGCAAAAAGUUUAAAAUUAAAUUAACUGUUUUUUCUUAUUCUAAAAUGGAGUUAAUAUGACUCUUGGAUAUAUGCAACAAAGUUGGAUUUUUUGAGUGUGAAACCAAUAAAAUUAUUUAAGCCAUAGUGAAAUUUGUAACUGUGGCUUGAAGACCACUUUUUCCAUGAUUAAUUAUCAGCAAUGAAUGAUUUGUUUCCUGUAAUAUCAAGUAAACUUAUUUUUAAAUUUGAAAAUAAUGUAGUGUCUUAACAAUUUUUAUCUUAAAGUUUUAAAAAGAUGUCAAAGAAUGAUUAGAAUCAUUGGAAAAAUAUAAAUUUGCUGUUUAAUAAAUUAAGAAUUUUCUUUUAAAAAAUCAGCACCAAAUAUAUUUGCCAUAUAAGUAUUUUCCGGCAGUCCUACUGAGGAUUCCUUAUUAGUCUAAUAAAGGUAACCUAUUAAUUAUUAAUCUUAUAAUUAGAUAUCUUAAUAAAGAUAUACUAAUCAGGCUUCAAUGUUCAUGAUAACCACCAGCAAUCAGCACAUAACAUGCCAAGAAGGGGAAUCUGGGUAGAUCACCAAAUAAGUAUUUCUCUCUCAUGAACAGUGUUGCAAUUUUCUAAUUUUGAUUUUUUUAAAAAGGGUACAAUAAAAUAAAACUACAUUUACAACCUAUCUAUAACCUCAGGAAUGCCCUAGAAUGUGUAUGUCUGCUGAGUGGGCCCUGAAGGUGGAUGAGGUGGAGAGAUUGUGUCUGAAACUUCUAAAUGGAGCUAGGUGGUACAUCUACACACCUUGGCAUGCCAAAUAAAUGCUCACAAGCUGCAGCUCAUGGUGCAACUUGAUUAUUUAUCUAGCAUCACUCUCUUGUUUAUACACUGUGUCUGGUUAUUCAUUUACUUCUUGGCAUGCUUCUUGGUUUAGUUUUACUUACGUUGCUGUUGAAGACAUUUAUCCUACACUUGGUCUAUACUCUGGGUUAGAGCACUCCAGCCUCAAGAAAGGCCUUUAAAGAUUAUAGAAUAUGUAUACAGCCAUUAAUUACAAUUUUCACCCAUCUUAUCGAGUCUCUGAGAAAACAUCACUAAAUUAGGUAAAGGCAAAUAAGAGAAGUAGAAACUGGGAAUUCCAUUAUUUAAUAUCUGCACUGUUCCUAUGUUUUUUUAAACAAACAACUUGUUUAACAUGAAUCACUGGAGGAUACUAAUAAUAAAUAUAGCAAUUCCAAAAUAUACAAUGAACAUCCUGUCAUAUGAAAACUACAUAUUCUCUCACAACGGUAGAUACAAUGAUAAAAAACCAAUUCUGUAAUUUAAAGUCAAGAUAGAUGCAGCAGAGGGAAAAGAAAGAAAACAAAUAUCCAAGAAUGAUGUCAAUCAUAAGUUAUUGCUUUAAUUAUUGUCUUGCUUGUCACCAUGGAAAAAAUACUUUACAUUACUGAAUGUAUCAAAGUCUAUCAAUGAGAGCUUUUUAAAUAGAUUUUAUGCAUUAGUGUGACUCAUUCAUCAUUUGAAUUUAUGAAACGUAUAUGAACAAUACACAAACAUCUCCAUUAUCCCAUCUUUGAGAAGCAAUUCACACUCACAUUGCCGUGAUCAUUGGGGAAUCUGAUCCACAUUCAAGUUGCAUCAGGGUGAGCACCUGACCCAAGGUAUGCCAUUCAUAAUUCCGUACAAUGAAUUUGGAACUGGCACUGAGGUUGGACUCAUACCUUGGAAUAUUUAUUGAAUAAUUAGAAAGUAAAAACUCAGCCACUCUUUCUGCUUUGAGAGCUAGGGUGUAGCCAAAGCUGAUAUGAAAACUGAAAGUGAUGUUAUAGAAACAGAUGAAGAAUAGACACUGAAUAUAAGUUUGUUUGUUAUCGUAUAUUGGUUUGCUUUUGUUCCUUUUAUUGUUUUUAACAAGAAACAGUGUUUUAGCUUCCAAUUCUGAGUUUUAUAAGAUACUUUCAUAGCAUAGUGUUUUCUGAUAUUGUGCUUUACAUUUUCCAUUCAGUUGUUUUAUUACAUUGAUUUGCCAUCCUUUUCUUGCUCCUAAAACAAUCCCAAUUAUUACUAUGUCUGAGGGAUGAGCUAUUAUUUUAGACACUGAUAUUUUAAAUGAGAUAUAGACCCCACUUUUAGGCCCUCACAGUAAGUUGAAGGAACUAAUUUAACAACAUAGAUUCAAUAAAAUUAAAAUUAUAAUGAAUUUCUAGAAAGGAGUUAGGAGAUACUGUAAGAACACAAAUGGGAACUGUGCUGUUGCACCACAUUAGAUUAUAAUUUUACAUAUACUAAAUUAAUAACCUUUUAAUAAAAAAUGAAUUUUUUGAUCCCUCUAUCCAUAUGGCUAAAUAAUUAAUGAAGCUAUCCCAUGUAUUGUAAUUUGCAGUAGCUAAAUUCAGCUGUGUUACUGGAUUUUAUUGGACUCAAACUGGCAUAGCUAACUAACUUCCUUGUCAGACUCUAUAAAGAAAAAUAGUAAAUAAUAACAAUGUAUGAUAUUGCAUAUGGUAAAGGCACAAAAUCGCCAAUGUUAUAAUAAAAAUAAAAAUAAUAAAAUGAGUUAUAUUGGGAAUAUAUGACCUUGGUUUUAUUUGGUUAAAUCUAAAUUUCACACGUCUAGUAGCGAUUUCUCCUUAAAUCAAUUUGCCUAGACAAAUCAAGAAUGCCUAAUCAUGUGAAAUACUUUCUGUGUUAUAUAUUGCCAAAUCAGGGUACUCUUAGAUCAUUUUACAUAAGAGUAUUGCCCUCAUCGACUAUUUUUGACAAAAUGGGACAGUAUUAUAUGAGUGAGAUUUUAAUGUUUCUAAAAUUCUCUGUUCUUAAGAGUUUUAAAUUGAAAGAUUGUUUCACUGAGAUUCAUACAAGAAUAGGUAUGAGAGUAAAUGCAGCUUCAGGGAAAGCUGGGAUUUUAAAAUAUUUGGCUCUGAGAAAAACAAUUAAGAUUUUUUUUUUUUUUUGUAAAUCAGAAUGGGUUAAAUUUUUGUAUGACAUAGUGAUGAAAAGUCAUUCCCAGUAAUACUGUAUUAUUGAAAAGUGGUAGUGAAGGUGGAAAUAUGUUGGUCUGGGAAAUUUAAUCUCACUCUGGAAAAUAGUCUUAUGGAAUUAUAUUUCAGAAUAACGUAUCUUAAGGGCAUACUGCAGAUUCUUGACCUAUUCAAAUUAAAGCAAGUGUUAGCAUUCAUCUGAGGUCACUGGAGAGAGGUCUUUUGCUAAAAAUAAAAGUGUGUGUCUACUGGAUACAUUAGGAGAAUUUUAGGAUUACAAUUUAGGUUAUCUGUAAUGAAAUCAAAAUACCUAUGAAGAGAACUAUUCAUCAGAAAAGGAUAUAAGAAAUAAUGAGAAAUAUUGACUUAUUAACUUAUUUCAAAUUUUACCUGUUCAUUUAAAAAACUUAUUAACUACGGGAAUUCCCGUCAUGGCACAGCAGAAAUGAAUCAGGCUAGGAACCCUGAGUUUGCGGGUUCAAUCCCUGGCCUUUCUCAGUGGGUUAGGGAUCUGGCAUUGCCAUGAGCUGUGGUGUAGCUUGCAGACGCAGCUCGGAUCUGGCAUUGCUGUGGCUGUGGCAUAGGCUAGCGGCAACAACUCCAAUUAGACCCCUAGCCUGGGAACCUCCAUGUGCCG
rnacentral:lncRNA from 1 species